AUGGUCUAAGCUUGCGUGAAACUACGACCAAUGCCAAAGCUAGCUUUUCAAGGUGACGGUGCCUUAUCUCGACAUCUGCUAAAGUUUUGUUGAUACGUAGAUGGGUGAUUGCGUACCUUUAUUUUUAUGGACCAACACUGCAGUUACUGCGACUUCAGAAAAGCCUUUGAAACUAUUGAAAAUAGAAUCUUUGUUUUCAGGCGGGUUUUCUUCUCCACCAACAACCAAGACGCAUGAAAGCGGUUUCCAGCGCUGCUGGGCAGAAAGACAUGAUGGCAUGAAACUCGAUUACGCACGCUGAUUGUCCGUCCACUUCAAACGCUCAAUACAGACCAUUUUCCGUGUGAAAUGACAGGGAUUGGUUUGGUUACUUAGGGAAUCCCAAGCAAAGCAAUCUACGCAAUUUCCGGGUUCAGUAGUAGGAAAGAAAGGGACCUCUCACUCAAUUCAAUAAGAUGUUCUAGGGCAUAUUAUUAUAAUAAUAAUGUUCGCAUUUGACCAGGCUUUUUGGACGUUCCAUGAUUAAACCGACUAGCGGCACUUUCGAGAUGCCACCUUGUUUAUAAAUAUAAAAAAAGUCUUUUCAAUUCCAUUUGACUCGGGGCGUCAGGGACCCUCCAACAGAAACCUCGUCUUUUUUGUCGUCGAUAAGUUCUCCCUCAGUGCCCUACUAUUCAUAAGUGACAAAUACACAAGCAAACACUCACCCGAAUCCACUUUGACGAGUAAUGGCGGCGAAGACAGAUAUGCAAUUAGCUUUUUCAGGGCAUAGACACAUUCCUCGUUCCAUUGCACCCCGUGGUCUUUUCUCAGCACAUU
rnacentral:lncRNA from 1 species